AUGGCCUCCAACCAGAACCAGGCGAGCUACGCGGCCGGCGAGACCAAGGCCCGCACUGAGGAGAAGACCGGGCAGAUGAUGGACAAGGCGGGGCAGGCCACGGAGGCCACCAAGCAGAAGGCCGGAGAGGCCAAGGACAAGACGGCCCAGACGGCGCAGGCGGCCAAGGACCGCGCCGCCGAGAGCAAGGACCAGACCGGCAGCUUCCUCGGCGAGAAGACGGAGGCGGCCAAGCAGAAGACCGCCGAGGCAACCGAUGCGGCCAAGCAGAAGGCGUCGGAGACGGCCCAGUACGCGCAGGAGAGGUCCUCCGACGCGGCGCAGUACACCAAGGAGUCCGCCGUGGCCGGCAAGGACAAGACCGGCAGCGUGCUCCAGCAGGCCGGCGAGACGGUGGUGAGCGCCGUGGUGGGCGCCAAGGACGCCGUGGCGAACACGCUGGGCAUGGGCGGCGACAACACCAACACCGCCAAGGACAGCACCACCGAGAAGAUCACUAGGGAUCACUAG
rnacentral:rRNA from 1 species